rnacentral:rRNA from 1 species
AUGCAGAGGACGGUGGAUUUCAAGCUCCCCCACUUCUUCAACUACCCNNNNNNNNNNNNUUUGCAGCCUGUGAGAGAAACACGUGAAAAGCAAGUGCAGCUAUGGAAAGAGCUGAUACUUGAUUACUGUAGAAGUCAAAAGAUGUAUAUAAUCUCCCUGGAAGAAGAUUUUCCGUUGUUCUCCAAUCCAAAGAUUGAGAGAUCUCUAAGCUAUGAAGCAAAGGAAGUGUUCCUUGCAGCUCUUGUUAGUGAAGGGCGCGCAGAGUGGAUUGACAAAAAUCACAAGAAGUGUCUCGUUCUUUGGCUGCGGAUUCAAGAUUGGGCUAACUGCAUAUUAGACUUCGUAAAGGAAAAUGGGUUGGAAGUAACAACAAUUGAAGAUAUACGCUCUGGAAUUGAAACACAUGGGACCGAACUUGCGGGAAUUGAUCGUGGUGUCCUCAUGCGAGCUUUGAGGCUGCUGGAACAGAAGGGAAAGGCAGUUAUCUUUAAGGGCAGUUCAGCAGACGAUGAAGGCGUCAAAUUUUCUGUUUAA